ensembl:lncRNA
GUAAUGUGUUUGUACAAAAGAUAUUUACUUCAGUUAAUACACCUAUGGUGGUAAUGAGGAAUAAUAAUAAUAAUUAUAAUGAAUUUCAAACAGUGAUAUUGCUUUUUCCAUUUUGGAUUAGAACUGUAACAGCGCUGGGAACAGAAUACAAGACUACAUGAUGAUACACAAAGGAAAAACCAACCGAACUAAAUACAUAUCAAGAGAACAAAGUGGAAGAGUCUUUAUUCGGGUAAAAUGGAGGAUUCAGCUCCAUCUUGUGGUUCAAAACCAUGACACAUAGAAAAAUAAACCAUACAACUGUCAUUAGCAGGUGUAAGAGGGAAAGUGUCACCAACAAACUGAUGGACAAAAGGACUGUGCUAAACCGAGGUUCUACCUGAGCUUUGAGAGACCUAAGGAGAAUCUAUAGGAUACCAGCUUGUGUUGGGAGCUGCCUGUCAUAUUUCAUUACAAGGCUUCAUAUUAGCCAUAUUACAGCAUACAGAGCAACAACAGAGAGAGAUAGAGAUCAAGACAUCCCACUUCCAUAGGCUGUUGGUCGAAAUGAAUCGUGAUAACUUGGUUAAAGUGUUGCUCUCGCUGAGACAGAUGUAUAAUCGUCGUGCUCGCCUCACAUGUAACACAAUUACACAACUUGAAAAAAAAAAGAGAAAAUCUCCAUCUGGGAUACAAUGAAACAAACUGUGGCUGUUCAGAACAUACUGUCUCAGGAAGUGACGUAAUGUGUGAGGGAAUAAACGAGGUAACAAUUAUGACAUCACUAGCGAACUAAGCUACGGACGAAUAUCUACAUUAAUGCUACUCGUGACUACCAAUGUAAUAUCAAUAAUGAUGAUCCUUUUUUUUUGUUGCUUUGUUUUUCUUUUUUUCUUUUUUUGUCUUUUUCUUAAGAAAUCAUAUAAACGUGCUGUCUGUGCAGUCGUAUGUUGAUGUGUUAUUUAGUCAUCUGCAAUACUUUCCAUAGAAAAAUAUUUGCAAAAAGCAGAGAGAAAGUGCUGGACGUCUGCAUUGAGAAUCGUCAAGUGUUCUUCUAAGUGUUUCAUGCCAUGAUAUCAACAGUACGGUUACAGUUUCAGUCAGUGAGAACGUGACAGACAUUUAAAAAAGCGUCCUUAAUAUAGACCAGAUUUGAAUGUGCUCCAAAACGUGUUUUUCUUCGUCUGUGUUCAAUUGAAAUCACAUGUUCAUGAUCAGAAAAGAGUCUUUGCAAGUUGAUUUGUCGGUUCUGACAAUUUGGUCCACACUACAGUAUAGUCUACAAAUCAUUUCAAGAGUUUCCACACGCCAAAUCCAUAUGUGAACUUCCUCCAGCAUGGGGGAAUCCUACUGUUAAAAUACAAUAACAUGGUCAAAAACAUCUAAUGAAUGCAUAAAAAUGAUUAAAACGACAUUUGGGACCAAAAAAAGUGAAAUUAACUGAUCAAAAUUACCAUUUUUCUUUUUAAAUAACCAAGUCCGAAUCCUGGGACAGCUGUUUUCUCUCAGAUAAAACAAUACAGACACCUUAAAAGUACAGAAUAUUAUGACCUGAGACUAGAUGAGACCUUAUUAUUAAACUUGCUGGCGAAGAUGGCUAAAACAUGGUAUGAUCUGACACGCGAUACUUCCAAUCACUUAUUUGGAAUGAAGACGACGCGAUUAUAGUAGCGAACAGUUUUCAGUGAAGGCACUCCAAUGUUAGACGUGGAGAGAAAGUUCGAGAAACAGUCACGGGCUUUCGACAUAUUAUUCGUAUAUUCCGAUAAAAACAUUGGUUCAUGAAGUAUCUCUGUGCUUUCGUUAGGUCUUAAAGAGACAAAUUUGAUUUGAAUCAUUCAUUGGCACGCAUAAAAAGGCCAAAGGUAGUUUUAAGCCGACGUUGUUCUUCAAGAUAUCGUCGGCGUAAUUUUAACGCAAUUUCAUUCCCACUAAAACAACAAAACAAAAAUAAAGUCCAAUUCCUCAAGGUGCAGCUCAAAGCGACAGCUAAUUUCAGUGACGUUAACUACCAGUUGUUCACUGGCUCAUUAUAGCAACUAAGUUUGUUUGCGAUUUAUAAACGUACGUAAUCUCAGAACGUUCGCAGGUUAAUUACCUGAAAACCCAAUUCAAGAGCAUCGAUCGGUUUGCCUUUUUAAGAGUGAAUACAACCAGACGCAAUUCAUCUUGAAAUGUCAUCUUUAAAAAUUGUUAAAACAUCUAAAAUGCGUACUAAUUAAAAUAAUUAAUGCAAUACAUAGAAUUCUGCUUCCCAUACAUA